rnacentral:rRNA from 1 species
GAUGAACGCUGGCUACAGGCUUAACACAUGCCAGUCGAGGGGAAACGACGGGGAAGCUUGCUUCCCCGGGCGUCGACCGGCGCACGGGUGAGUAACGCGUAUCCAACCUGCCUCUGACUGAGGGAUAACCCGUCGAAAGUCGGCCUAAUACCUCAUGGUAUCGUCUGCGGGCAUCCAACGACGAUUAAAGAUUUCAUCGGUCAGGGAUGGGGAUGCGUCUGAUUAGCUUGUUGGCGGGGUAACGGCCCACCAAGGCUACGAUCAGUAGGGGUUCUGAGAGGAAGGUCCCCCACAUUGGAACUGAGACACGGUCCAAACUCCUACGGGAGGCAGCAGUGAGGAAGAUUGGUCAAGGGGCGAGAGCCUGAACCAGCCAAGUAGCGUGCAGGAAGACGGCCCUAUGGGUUGUAAACUGCUUUUAGGCGGGGAUAAAGUGAGGGACGUGUCCCUCAUUGCAGGUACCGCAUGAAUAAGGACCGGCUAAUUCCGUG